rnacentral:rRNA from 1 species
UAGUCCACGCCCUAAACGAUGUCUACUAGUUGUCGGGUCUUAAUUGACUUGGUAACGCAGCUAACGCGUGAAGUAGACCGCCUGGGGAGUACGGUCGCAAGAUUAAAACUCAAAGGAAUUGACGGGGACCCGCACAAGCGGUGGAUGAUGUGGAUUAAUUCGAUGCAACGCGAAAAACCUUACCUACCCUUGACAUGUCAGGAACCUCCGAGAGAUUGGAGGGUGCCCGAAAGGGAACCUGAACACAGGUGCUGCAUGGCUGUCGUCAGCUCGUGUCGUGAGAUGUUGGGUUAAGUCCCGCAACGAGCGCAACCCUUGUCAUUAGUUGCUACGAAAGGGCACUCUAAUGAGACUGCCGGUGACAAACCGGAGGAAGGUGGGGAUGACGUCAAGUUCUCAUGGCCCUUAUGGGUAGGGCUUCACACGUCAUACAAUGGUACAUACAGAGGGCCGCCAACCCGCGAGGGGGAGCUAAUCCCAGAAAGUGUAUCGUAGUCCGGAUCGCAGUCUGCAACUCGACUGCGUGAAGUUGGAAUCGCUAGUAAUCGCGGAUCAGCAUGCCGCGGUGAAUACGUUCCCGGGUCUUGUACACACCGCCCGUCACACCAUGGGAGCGGGUUUUACCAGAAGUAGGUAGCUUAACCGCAAGGGGGGCGCUUACCACGGUAGGACUCGUGACUGGGGGUGAAGUCGUAACAAGGUA